GAUGAACGCUAGCGGCAGGCUUAACACAUGCAAGUCGAGGGGUAUGGUAGCAAUACCAGAGACCGGCAAACGGGUGCGGAACACGUACAGAACCUACCUUGAUCUGGGGCAUAGCCCGAAGAAAUUCGGAUUAACUCCCCAUAAUAUGCGUGAGUGGCAUCACUUGUGCAUUAAAAAUUUAUUGGAUCGAGAUGGCUGUGCGUCCCAUUAGCUAGUUGGUAGGGUAACGGCCUACCAAGGCGACGAUGGGUAGCUGGUGUGAGAGCACGACCAGCCACACGGGCACUGAGACACGGGCCCGACUCCUACGGGAGGCAGCAGUGAGGAAUAUUGGUCAAUGGACGCAGGUCUGAACCAGCCAUGCCGCGUGAAGGAUGAAGGCCUUCUGGGUUGUAAACUUCUUUUAUGUGGGAAGAAACCACUUUUUUCUAAGAGUGUUGACGGUACCAUAGGAAUAAGCACCGGCUAACUCCGUGCCAGCAGCCGCGGUAAUACGGAGGGUGCAAGCGUUAUCCGGAUUCACUGGGUUUAAAGGGUGUGUAGGCGGGUAUUUAAGUCAGUGGUGAAAUCUCCGGGCUCAACCCGGAAACUGCCAUUGAUACUAUAU
rnacentral:rRNA from 1 species